AUUAACUCUUCGUCUUUUAGUGUCUUUCUUCAUUUUAAUUGUAAUUUUUUUUCUCAGAUUACCUUUAUCAUUCCUCAUAUUCUUUCUUUAGUUCGUGGAUUUCUCUCCACAUUCUCUUAAUCCCAACGUCGACAACAACCACUGCCAUGCCCUUUUUCCAUCGUAGGUUGAAUCCACGACAACCAUCUCACUGUCGUUGGCGAUGCCAAGAUCAUCGUGACAAGUGGUGCAAGGUUAGUAGGUGAAUCGAUUGAUUUCGCAAAGGAUGGUGUGAGCGUGGUGGACAAUUUCUUCAUGGGAAGGAAGGAGAACUUGAAGCACCAUUUUGGGAACCCUAGAUUCGAGCCUUUGCCCAAUCAACUUCUAAAAUUGUCAAACAGGGGUAAGUUUUAUGAAGAAAUGAGUAUGUGUGAUGGAACAAACUCUUUCUGGUGUGAGCAUGGAGGAAGUUGUGAGGAAAUUGUUCAAGGAGAGAAAUAUUCAUGCAAAUGUCCUGAUGGAUUUGGUGGGGAACAUUGUGAGCAUUCUGGAGCACCUUGUGGUGAGAGUUUUUGUUUCCAUAAUGCAGAAUGCUUGGCUGAAGCAGGUGAUGUUUGCCAGUGUCCAUCUGAAUGGAGAGGCAGUGUUGAUUGCUCUUUUUUAACCAAACCAACAGAAGACACUAGUUGUUUUGGCUUUAUCUUCAGUGGGAGCAGCUGUUGCUGGUGCCAUUUAUGGAAAGAAAGUAUUCAGCAAAAAAAAAAGAGAGGAAGUUGUUGGACGAGGCCAACAAUCCAUUAAUUUGUAGCUUGGGCUGGACCUAUCCAUGAAGCGGAGUGGAGAUAGGCAUAUGUACUAAAGACAACAUGCACCUGUUGUCUUUAUGUUGACCUUUGGUUUUUUGUUAUUGCUGUGGAUGAGCCAACAAAGGGAGUAAUAAUUCAGGUUGCAGAUAGUGAGAAAACCACAUAUAUCAGAUUGUUUCUGGAGUUCAAGCACUUGUGAUUUGGAUAAUGGCAACAUUCAAUCUCAGAGAAGUAUCUUGUCUCACUUGGUCUUCUUCUUUGGAAUGAAAGUAGGCUUCAAUGGAUUGGAAGUGAAAAAUCUAGCAAGCCUAACCAAUAAAAACGUGAAUCCAGACUGAAUUGGAAUGCAACUUACGAAUGUUUGCUUGGGACUAGAGAACCUUUCCCCAAGUCCAUACCUUUAUCUGACAUGAUGGAGAAAUCUAUUGAGAGGAGAUAGAAAAAGCAUGAUAAAAGAUUGUGAAUCUGCUGCUCGUACAAGAGCAAGGAAACAAACGCUCUUUCAUGUUAUGCGUACAUAAAUGAAUUGGAGAAUAAAGUAUCGGGUCUAGAAGAGGAAAAUAAAUGACGAGGAAACGACAAGAUUAAGCGAAGUACAUCUGUAUAAAUACUUGGGUCUGGUGAGCCAAGAGCCUGUGUUGUUUAAUGACACCAUUCGAGCCAAUAUUGAAUAUGGCAAAGGUGAGGAUGCAACAGAGGCAGAAGUUAUAGCUGUAGCAGAAUUGGCAAAUUCUUACAACUUCAAUAGUAGUUUGCAGGAGGGUUAUGAGACAAUAGUGGGGGAAAGAGGGAUUCAACGAUUUGGAGGGCAGAAACAAAUGGUGGUAAUUGCUCGAGCAAUAGUGAAGAAUCCAAAAAUAUUGUUAUACGAGGAUGGCUUGAUGGUGGUAAUGACAACUCACCAAUGACUAAUGGUAUGUUUGCACAUCACAAUCUUGUGCUCUUUCGCUCUACAAUCCAUGACUAGUUACAAAACCACUGAUCAAGUGCAUUAUUUUUCUUCCAUUUUAAUUGAAUUGUAUAUCUAUUGUUUAUUGAAAUAUCUAGGAAAGAAAGUUAUCAUUUCAUUUUGUUAGCUUGUAUCAGGUUCUUUAAUCACACUUUAUACCUAUCCUCUUGUAUAGGUUAGAUAACAACAUGAUUAUCCUACAAUAGUUGUAAAGUACAUAUUAUAUAGGAUAUAUAUCAAAACGAUCCUUUCUAUGAUUAUCUUUA